GAUGAAGAACGCAGCGAAAUGCGAUACUUGGUGUGAAUUGCAGAAUCCCGUGAACCAUCGAGUCUUUGAACGCAAGUUGCGCCUCAAGCCAUUAGGUUGAGGGCACGUCUGCCUGGGCGUCACAUAUCGUUGCCUGAUGCCAGUUUCCUCGUGAUGGGUGACUGUGCAGGGCGAAUGAUGGCUUCCCGUGAGCAUUGUUGCCUCAUGGUUGGUUGAAAAUUGAGUCCUUGGUAGGGAGCGCCGUGAUAGAUGGUGGUUGAGUGACGAACGAGACCCAAUCAUGUGAGACCCCUACCGAAUUUGGCCUUCAUGACCCACAUGCGUCUUUGGAACGCUCAUGACGAGACCUCAGGUCAGGCGGGGCUACCCGCUGAGUUUAAGCAUACAAUAAGCGGAGGA
rnacentral:misc_RNA from 1 species